AACGAACGCUGGCGGCGUGCCUAACACAUGCAAGUCGUGCGAGAAAGUUCCUUCGGGAGCGAGUAAAGCGGCGCACGGGUGAGUAACACGUAGGUAACCUGCCCCCCAGUCUGGAACAACUAGAGGAAACUCUAGCUAAUGCCGGAUGAGACCACGAUCCCUUCGGGGGGUUGCGGCCAAAGAUGGCCUCUACUUGUAAGCUAUCGCUGAGGGAUGGGCCUGCGGGCCAUUAGCUUGUUGGUGAGGUAACGGCUCACCAAGGCUGUGAUGGCUAGCUGGUCUGAGAGGAUGACCAGCCACACUGGGACUGAGACACGCCCAGACUCUACGGAGGCAGCAGUGGGAAUAUU
rnacentral:rRNA from 1 species